rnacentral:snRNA from 1 species
AUGCUCACUUUGGCAGCACAUACACUAAAUGUGGAAAGAGAUUAGCAUGGCCUCUGCACAAGGAUAACAUGUAAGUUUAUGACACAUUCCAUAUUUUU